UUGAAUAUCGACCGAUUAGAGCAUGUCGAUAUCGAUCGACAGUACAUCACCUGCAGCGACCGAUGGUAACUCUUUUCCAUCGAUCGACACUUAAUAUGGUCAGGUAUAUCGUUCUUACUUGUUAAAUUUUGUACUUCUGCUUUUUGAUUUUCCCCUUACCACCGACUGUGUUACACUGGGGACAGUGUAAUUUAAGUAUGGGGGAUUACUAACGUUUAUCUACUUUUAUGAAUCUUAUUUAAAACAUUUUCAAAAUUUGUUUUUAUUGAGUCAAGAAGGGGAUGAUGAUCUAGACUUACUGAUUGCAGAAAGUACUAAAGAUACUAAAGUUGAUCAACCUGUCAACUAUGUUCACACUUGCUGAGAUUGUUUGAAGGAACCGAAGCUGACCUCCAACCUAAUUUGACUUAACUGCUUGUCUUGGGGCUUGGUAUACACUGGAUCGGAUUCCUCCUUCAGGUCUGAAAGGUAAAAGUCUGAGUGAUUUUGGUUUCGUUCUCUCCUCCCUUUGGCAUCCUAAUAAAAUAAAAUAAAAGAUUGAGAUGAUUUCUUACGGUUUAGAGGGGUAGGUACAUUACCGAUGACCUCAUUAUUCUACUCUAAUAGAAUGAUCACACAUUGUUGGAAGCGAGGGGUAGGUACAUUACCGAUCACCCCACUAUUCGCCUACACUUUGU
rnacentral:lncRNA from 1 species